CCUAUUCUGCCCAUUCAUUUAAUCUAGCCUAUAGGCCUAGUUAUGGAAUUGAAGGCCUACCUCCAAGAACCUACGCCAGUCCCAAGACGGAUGAAAAGGAGAUGACCACGGGUCAACAACAAGAAAGAUUGGAAGAGGAAAAUGGCUUAUAAGCUGUGGCUGCAAGUAUUCCACUCAGGACAACACGUCCAAGAACGACGUCGAUCGCCACGGGACCCCAGACCGCCAGCAUCCGUCCAUUCAGGUAAAACAACAUAGCAAUUGAAAUUGCAUGAACUUAGAAUGUAGACUGACACUAUUAAACAGUAGGGAAUUGGUCACAGAAGGGACUUGAACUCUCAAACUUUGUGGUGAAAAGUAACUGCAAUGAUCACUUAGGUAAAAUGGGAAUGUAGUUCCUCAACAGGUCAGAUAUUUGGGGAUAGUGUUUAAAAUAUCCACUGCGCAAUAUAUUUAAUACUGAGUGCCUAACAGAGACUCAUACGGUCACAUUUUUUAAAAACUUGGUAUGUCUUGGCCAGGAUCAAACACCCAACCUUUUGAUUUCAAAACAGAAACUCUUACCACAAGACUACAGGGUAGACUCAAUACAUUGGAACAAUACCAAAGUACAGGUUGAUUACUGAGAGGUUCAGGUAGUCAACAGUUUUUGUUGGCUGUCUUCUCCUCUGUUUCAUUAUUCUCCUCCUGCAUUUGUCUACUUUCUGUUCCACUGUCGGUUUCUUAGUGAUCUGCCUUACUUCAUUUGAACACUACGGCUAUAAGCCUCCUUCUGAACAGGGUAUCUGUUGUGCUUACAAGGAGACAACGCAGGUGGAGACAACACAGAUGGACAAGGCAGGGACAUCAUAAAUCAAGUUGGAGGACAAGGAGGGGGGGAGAAAAGGCCAAAUCUAUCCAAAUGCAAAAAAAAACUGAAGAUGAGUCUCUGCUCUCAAUACUCUGCUAUGCUCUAAGACAUACAACCACGAAGAUAGGUCUUAGUGAUUUAUUGGACAUUACAAAUCUCCAUUGUCCAGAGAGGACACACAGCGUUUCCAACAGUCUCUACAGGUUUAUUAAGUAUUUUGACUGUAAUGACACUUUUGAAAUGCAGUAUAUUUGUCCAACAUGCCAGUAUUUAUAUUUGGCAGUGAAGUUCCAGAUCAUUGCUCAUCAUCUGGUUGCCUCCCUGGGGAUAUGCCAUAUCUAUCUUGUCACGAGUGGAUCAGUGUUCAUGAAAUUGUCAGUCAAAAAGCAACUAGAGGAAAAGUUAUCAGACCCCAAAUUCUGUGACGCAUUAGAAUAUAAGUAUUGUAGGUCCAAGAGCAG